CCUACGGGCGGCAGCAGUGAGGAAUAUUGGUCAAUGGGCGUAAGCCUGAACCAGCCAAGUCGCGUGAGGGAUGAAGGUUCUAUGGAUCGUAAACCUCUUUUAUAAGGGAAUAAAGUGUGGGACGUGUCCUAUUUUGUAUGUACCUUAUGGAUAAGGAUCGGCUAACUCCGUGCCAGCAGCCGCGGUAAUACGGAGGAUCCGAGCGUUAUCCGGAUUUAUUGGGUUUAAAGGGUGCGUAGGCGGCCUUUUAAGUCAGCGGUGAAAGUCUGGGGCUCAACCCUAGAAUUGCCGUUGAAACUGGGAGUCUUGAGUAUGUGAGAGGCAGGCGGAAUGCGUGGUGUAGCGGUGAAAUGCUUAGAUAUCACGCAGAACCCCGAUUGCGAAGGCAGCCUGCCGGGCCAUCACUGACGCUGAUGCACGAAAGCGUGGGGAUCAAACAGGAUUAGAUAUCCUGGUAGUC
rnacentral:rRNA from 1 species